GAGAUGGAGUCUCGCUCUGUCACCCAGGCUGGAGUGCAGUGGCGCGAUCUCGGCUCACUGCAAGCUCCACCUCCCAGGUUCACACCAUUCUCCUGCCUCAGCCUCCCGAGUAGCUGGGACUACAGGUGCCUGCCACCUGGCCCCGCUAAUUUUUUGUAUUUUUAGUAGAGAUGGGGUUUCACCGUGUUAGCCAGGAUGGUCUCAAUCUCCUGACCUCGUGAUCCGCCCGCCUCAGCCUCCCAAAGUGCUGGGAUUACAGGCGUGAGCCACCGCACCCGGCCUUUUUAUAGCAUAUAGAUGUUUUACUCUUUUCCACCAAUAAAUAAUAUUUAUAGUCUGAUUGUUUUUCAAAAGAAUCUCUUAACAAAAGGAUUUCACUGAACAUUAGUCAAUGCUGGGCACAUAGUAAGUGCUUAAUAUUUGUUAAAUGAGCAAAAUUUUUCCAUAUCUGAACAGGGUAUUUGACAUGGUUAUUUGCUCCUAUGAACAUUUAAUGAGGCUGUUUAAUGCUUCGACAAAUUUACCAUUGCUAAUUUUACAAUGAAAACUAUGUUAAUUUAAAUCUAACUUUGGACGUGUGGUACCGGAUAAAAGUUAAUAGCCUUUUUUUGCACAGCAAAGGAAACAAUCAACAAAAUGAAAAGGAGGCCUACGCAUUAGGAGAAAAUAUCUGCAAACCAUGUAUCUGAUAAGGGGUUAAUAUCAAAAAUAUAUAACGAUGCAAUGCCAAAAAAUUGAAUAACCUAAUUAAAAAAUGGGCAAAGAACCUGAAUAAACAUUUCUCAAAAGACAUAAAAAUGGCCAACAGGUAUAUGAAAAGAUGCUCAACAUCACUAAUCAUCAGGAAAAUGAAAAUCAAAACCACAAUAAGAUAUCACCUCACCCCUUUUAGGAUGGCUAUUAUCAAAAAAACAAGAGAUAACAAGUGUUAGUAAGAGUGGGAGGAAAAGGGAACCCUUGUACACUGUUGGUGGAAAUGCAGAUUUGUGCAGCCCGUGUGGAAAACAGUAUGGAGGUUUCUUAAGGAAUUAAAAAUAGAACUAGUAAUAUGACCCUGCAAUCCCGCCUCUUCUGAGUAUCUACUCAAAGGAAAUGAAAUCACAAUCUUAUUAAAAAAAUCUGCAUUCCCAUAUUCAUUGCAACAUUAUUCACAAUACAAGUUAUGGAAGCAACUGAAGUGCCUGUUGACGAAUAAAGAAACUAUGAUGUGGGUGUGUGUGUAUGUAAUGAAAUAUUCAUCCUUGAAAAAGAGAGAGAUCCUGCCAUUUGCAAAACAUUAAUGAACUUAGAGGACAUUAUGCUAAGUGAAAUACGCCAGACACACAGAGAAAAACACUGCAUGAUCUCACUUAUAUGUGGAAUUAAAAAAAAAACAUAAUGAAAAACCAAAAAAUGCAACAACAAAUACACAGAUAGCAACAAAGAGCAGAAUACUGGUUACCUGGGGCAGAGAAAAUGGGAAGAAUUAGGUCAAAGGGUAUAAAGUUUGCAGCUAUGUAGGCUAAAUCUAGAGAUCUAGUGUACAACAUGAGGACUAUGGUUAAUAAUAUUUUAUACUGGAAAUUUCCAAGGGAGUAGAUUUUAGAUACUCUUACUAUGAAGGAAAAGAGAAGGGAAGAGAGGGAGGGAGGGAGGGAGAGAAGGAAGGAGGGAGGGAGAGAAGUAUAUGAGAUAACAGAUAUGUUAAUUUGCUGGACUGUAGUAAUCAUUUCACUAUGUAUAUCAAAACAUCAUGUUAUAGACCUUAAGUCAUACACAGUAAUCUCUCGGUAUCCAUGGGGGAUUGGUUCCAGGACCUCCUACAGACAUCAAAAUCCAUGGAUGCUUAAAUCCCUGAUAAAAGAGGGCACAGUAUUUGUAUAUAACCUAUGCAUAACCUUCCAUGUACUUUAAAUCAUCUCUAGAUUACUUGUAAUACCUAAUACAAUGUAAAUCCUAUGUAAAUAGUUAUUACACUAUAUUACUUAGGGCAGGGUGAUGAGAACAAAAGUCUGUACAUGUUCAGUACAGAUGCAAUUUUUUUAAGAAUAUUUUUGAUCCAUGGUUGGUUGAAUCCACACAUAUGCAGAACCCAGAGAUAUGAAGGGCCAACUGUUCAAUUAAAAAAAGCUAACGGGUACUAAUAGCUAUGGAGAAUGUAUACAUUAUUACAGAAAUGUUUUGGCAACUCAAAAAAAAGUCAAGGGUUUUCAUACCUUUCUUUUUUUACAUUAAAAACCACAAUUAUAAAAAAUGUUCAAUACAUUUAUCACCUGGAUUGUUACAACACUGUAUCUAGAUGUAUCCAGAAAACACUUCUGAUUGAAAAAAAAAUACCACAAUCAACUCAUUAAUUUCCUUCUGGUUAGUAUUUGAAUCUGUUGUAAAUUCGGCUGUAGUUGGACAAAACAGUUGCAUCAACAGAUAUGUAAAGCAUGCCCUAUUUGAUCUUAAAUGAGUUUAAAUGGCAGAACUAUUUUACAGAACUACAUUAUUAUCUACCUCAGAAAUUCAUUAACAUUACAAUAAAAUACAUCACAUUUGUGGAAUAUAGAGACAAAUUAGAAAAAGAUUUGUUCUCAAGAAGCUCAUGGUCUAUACUUCUUAAAUAUUAUAUCAAUAGAAAAUUUAACUUCAUAUCUCUAGUAUAUUUAUUCAUAAAUGACAUACAUGGGCUCCAAAUCUAUAAAGCAAAUAUUAGUGAAGUACACUUUUCCUUAUUUCAGAUAAAAACCAAAGGGAUAAAACUCUAUUAUUUUCUUCCCACCCAUACCUACAAACCAAGGAACACCAAACAUUGCCAGCAACCCACUGGAAGCGAGGUGAAAAGGCAUGCAACAGAUUCGUUCUCACAGCCCUCAGAAGGAAACAACCCCGUUGACACCUUCUAACUUCCAGAACUGUGAAACAAUACAUUUCUGUUGUCUAAGCCACCCAGUCAGUGGUUCUUUGUUAUAGCAGCCCUGGUAAAAUAAAACCCUGAACAAGGUGCUGCAGUGGAGCAGCCUGUAACCUUGCUGACUGGAAGAACAAGAAUGCAAAGGAAAGAUAUAGUUGAUUACUAUGAGCUAAGUAGACACCAAAAAAGAGAACCAGGUCUAUAUCGUGGAUGCUGGAUCUCCAACACCAAAGAACUAUUCAGUAGGGAAGCUUCCUAUGGGCCCCUCUGAAGAGUUUGCACCCUUCUACCUGUAACAGAACCAGCACUGGAACACACGCAGAAGGCAUUCAAAUUCACGGCCAAUGUUAGCUAGAGAAGCAACAAUAACCAACAGGGGCUUGUAAUUUCAUGUCUGGCUAAGUAAAAACUGUGGCAUCAGACCAGAACACCUUUUCUCCAAUCCUGUCUCCCUACUCCAAUGCCAGAAGGGUUAGAAGUUGAAGAGGGUAGAGCAGGGGUGGAGGAGUGAAAGAACUGGCUGGCUAUCUCCUACUCCAUGGUGGGGUUGGGGGUGGAGUUAAAUAGGAUAUGAGAUAAAAUUUUAAUCAAGUAGAUUAAAUUAACUUUAAUUACUGAAAGUAAAGUAAACAACGAUUGGCUCCCCAUCAUAGAGAUCAGCUUUCUAGCAGUGAUAGCACAAUUGUGGGCAAGAACUGGGGUAAAUAAAACCCCCACUCUUCACCCCUUACACCCAGAGGCAGACUCAUGUGUUGUGGGACCUGAAGCUUAUAUAAUCUGUGAGUCCAUAUGUUAAAAAAAUCACAAAAUUGCAAACACAAUUUUUUUUCUUCUUCUAUCAUUUAUUAAGGUCUCAUACGCUAAAAAGAUCUUAAGGUUUGGGGUCAACAGAGGCCGCUGUAAGACAGGAGAAAUUAAUUCAACAACAGUAACAUCAAAGGUUUAUCAAAGAUCUACAGUCAUUUAUAACAAAAUCAGAGUUCACCAUCAUCAUCUGACUACAGCAUAGAAUAAAUGGUAGUAAGUUGCUGCCUUGCUUUCCCUAAUUGCAUCUUCAUUUUACAGCAGUAGUGUAAUUAGCUGGCAUGAAGAGAGACCCCAAGUUUUUCUGCACAUAGUUAAUAAAUAAUAAAAAUUUAAGUAUCUUGGGAAAUUCCAAAAUGAUGUUUUGUAAAAUGAAAGUAGAUAAGCAGAGUAAAAAGAUGAGCACAAGGUCGGUAUGCUGGAUGACAAAACACAAAAAAUUCUAAGGCUUUAAGAAUACUGCAAAGAACAAAUUUGUAUUUUCAAUGACCUGCUAUAUUUAAGUUUCCUGGCUUUACUUUUGUGACUUGGGAGAAAUGAAUAAAUAUUUUAAUACAACAUCAUUAUGACACUGUAUUAAGAGAUUAAAAGGUAAAAACAAAAUGAUUAUAUCAGUACAUGCUGAAAAGGCAACUGACAAAAUCCUGUAUUUGGCCUUUUAUUAAUGUAUUUACUUUUCCAAAUGAAUGGUAGCCAAAUACCUUUUGAAAGGAAAAACUAAUUAGAAUUCCCUAUAUCAGUAAGAGAAAAACAUUAAAAUCUAUAAUCAUUAAAAUACUGUGACAUUGAUAUAGAAAUAGAUCAGUAGAGUAGAAAAAGACAUAUAGACAUUUAGCUGAUGAUAAAGGGUAGCUUUUACAUCACUGUGCAAAGAACUGACCAUUCGAAAAAAAAAAAAGCACUGAAACAACUAGCUAUAUGGCUGAAAAAAAAUCUCAUUUCACAUAACCAAAAAUAAAUUCCGGAUAAAGACAUAAACUGAAGUUGAAAAAGGCUUUCUAAGCAUGACACAAAAGCGAGAAAUUACAAUGGAAAAGAGAGACAGAUUGAACAAUAAAAAAUUAAAAGCUUCA
rnacentral:lncRNA from 1 species